AACGAACGCUGGCGGCAGGCUUAACACAUGCAAGUCGAACGGGUGUAGCAAUACAUCAGUGGCAGACGGGUGGGUAACACGUGGGAACCUUCCUAGGGGUACGGAACAACUCAGGGAAACUUGAGCUAAUACCGUAUACGUCCGUGAGGAGAAAGAUUUAUCGCCCUUAGACGGGCCCGCGUCGGAGUAGCUAGAUGGUGGGGUAAUGGCCUACCACGGCGACGAUCCGUAGCUGAUCUUAGAGGAUGAUCAGCCACGCUGGGACAGAGCCACGGGCCAGGCUCCUACGGGAGGCAGCAGUGGGGAAGCUGGGACGAAGGGCGCGAGCCUGAGCCAGCCAUGCCGCGGGGGUGAAGAAGGUCUUCGGAUUGGAAAGCACGGUUGCCAGGGACGAUACUGACGGUACCUGGAGAAUAAGCCCCGGCAAACUUCGUGCCAGCCGCCGCAGUAAGAC
rnacentral:rRNA from 1 species